GGGAGCGGCAGUCGGGGACGCCUCAACUCGUUCACUCAGGGAAUCCUGCCCAUCGCCUUCUCCAGGCCGACUUCGCAGAACUACUGCUCCCUGGAGCAGCCAGGCCAGGGCGGCAGCACCAGCGCCUUCGAGCAGCUGCAGAGGUCCCGACGGCGCCUCAUCUCCCAGAGAUCUUCCUUGGAGACCCUGGAAGAUAUUGAGGAGAACGCCCCUCUCCGGAGAUGUCGAACUCUCUCAGGUUCACCCAGACCAAAGAAUUUUAAGAAGAUUCAUUUUAUCAAGAACAUGCGGCAACACGAUACCAGGAAUGGCAGCUCCUGAGUCUCCUUGGGACCCCUGAUGAGCACAGCCCAGCCUCUCAGUCUGCAGGCCAGAUCCACGGCUCAUUUGCUCUUCUGACCCUGAAAACCCUGGCAUGGAGGCUCCCGCGUCCCCAGACCUGCUGACCGUGUGAUAGAGGCCCCAGUAUUGAGGAGGAUAUGGACUUCUCGUCUCAGCAAGGACCAGAGUGCAGCUCGA
rnacentral:sRNA from 1 species